UAUUUUAGUCUGAUGCCAAUGCAAGUUUCUUAAGAGCGGCUCGAGCUGGACACUUGGAAAAGGCCCUUGACUACAUAAAAAACGGAGUUGACAUCAACAUUUGCAAUCAGAAUGGGUUGAAUGCGCUCCAUCUUGCCUCCAAAGAAGGCCACGUAGAAGUUGUUUCUGAACUGCU